CCCGGACGCUGGGCCAGACCUGGGGAGGUCUCUUGCGGGCCAUUGGCUUGGGCCGCUGUUCCGACCCGGCUUUGAGGAUUUCCCCAGGCUUUGGGGCCCCCUUUGUGGACCGGCGAGAGAGUAGCCAGGCCAGCGACUCACCUUUGACCCCACCCACCACUCCUUGCAUCCCUCAAGUUCCCCUGCACCCGUCCCCUGGAGCCCAAGGCUUUGAAACGGUAGUGACUCCGCAAAGAAAGCGGGUGUAUAGGAAAUCAACAAAGACAAAGAGUGAAAGACCGGCUCCUGGAGCAGGCUUCUUGCAUCCUUUAAUGUGACUUGACCGUGGGCGGGGCAGUUGGGGCAACGGGAAAGAAGACCCCCCUUUCUCCCUGCAAGGCCAUUGCUACCCAGCCUGCCUUGGGCUUGAGCUGCAGGCUCGAGCCGGGGCUUUUUGAAUGGACCGACUUCUGGGUUAGCGAAAGCGGGGGCCGAACAUCCGCGUGGAGAGAACGAGCCACCACUGCUUUCCCGAUUCUAGCCGGCUUCCUCCCGUCCUCCGCGUCCUCCGAGGCUCUCCGUGGAGAAGUCACGAACUCCAGGGCCCCCCGGCCUGAGAAAUAGGAAUGGG
rnacentral:lncRNA from 1 species